UUCAUCGUUGGUGGUGCGGCUUACCGCAUUC
rnacentral:sRNA from 1 species